CUCAAGUUUUAUCUGUGCUCUGAAACACUCCUGAAACACCCUGCUGUGUCUUGGAUAGCCUAAUGUUAGAUAUCUCAGAUACUGCAGAUACUGGUUUCUUAAGAAGCUGUUAAAACUGCUGGGAUGAUGAAUUAAAAUGUUCUGUAUCUGUUAUAAGGUAACUAGGCAGAACGAGAUUAAAACUUGAAGUGAGACA